CCCUUAGAUGUUCUGGGCCGCACGCGCGCUACACUGACGAAGUCAGCGAGCAUGUCCUACGCCGACAGGUGCGGGGAAUCUUGUCAAACUUCGUCGUGAUGGGGAUUGAUUAUUGAAAUUCUUGAUCACCAACGAGGAAUUCCUAGUAAGCGCAAGUCAGCAGCUUGCGUUGAUUACGUCCCUGCCCUUUGUACACACCGCCCGUCGCUACUACCGAUUGAAUGGUUUAGUGAGAUCUUCGGAUUGGCGCCACUGCGGCUCAGCAAUGGGCUCGGUGGAUGCCGAAAAGUUGAUCAAACUUGAUCAUUUAGAGGAAGUAAAAGUCGUAACA
rnacentral:rRNA from 1 species